GAUGAACGCUGGCGGCGUGCUUAACACAUGCAAGUCGAACGAUGAAGCCCAGCUUGCUGGGCGGAUUAGUGGCGAACGGGUGAGUAACACGUGAGUAACCUGCCCUUGACUCUGGGAUAAGCGCUGGAAACGGCGUCUAAUACCGGAUACGAGCUUCCACCGCAUGGUGAGUUGCUGGAAAGAAUUUCGGUCAAGGAUGGACUCGCGGCCUAUCAGGUAGUUGGUGAGGUAACGGCUCACCAAGCCGACGACGGGUAGCCGGCCUGAGAGGGUGACCGGCCACACUGGGACUGAGACACGGCCCAGACUCCUACGGGAGGCAGCAGUGGGGAAUAUUGCACAAUGGGCGCAAGCCUGAUGCAGCAACGCCGCGUGAGGGACGAAGGCCUUCGGGUCGUAAACCUCUUUUAGCAGGGAAGAAGCGAAAGUGACGGUACCUGCAGAAAAAGCACCGGCUAACUACGUG
rnacentral:rRNA from 1 species